UACGUAGGGGGCUAGCGUUGUCCGGAUUUAUUGGGCGUAAAGAGCGUGUAGGCGGCCAGGUAGGUCUGCUGUGAAAACUCGAGGCUUAACCUCGAGAUGUCGGCGGAAACCAUCUGGCUAGAGUCCGGAAGAGGAGAGUGGAAUUCCUGGUGUAGCGGUGAAAUGCGCAGAUAUCAGGAAGAACACCAAUGGCGAAAGCAGCUUUCUGGGACGGUACUGACGCUGAGACGCGAAAGCGUGGGGAGCGAACAGG
rnacentral:rRNA from 1 species